rnacentral:rRNA from 1 species
AGAAUGAACGUUGGCGGCGUGGAUUAGGCAUGCAAGUCGGACGGGCCGCAAGGCCAGUGGCGUAAGGGUGAGUAAGGCGACGGCAAUCAACCCCACGGUUGGGUAUAGCCGCGAGAAAUCGCGGGUAAUCCCCAGCGACGCACGGUGUCGGCAUCGACGCCUUGCCAAAGGCUCGCCGCCGUGGGACGAGCCGUCGCGGUAUUAGGUCGUUGGCGGGGUAACGGCCCACCAAGCCUGCGAUGCCUACCGGGUGUGCGAGCAUGGCCCGGCACACUGGGACUGAGACACUGCCCAGACUCCUACGGGAGGCUGCAGUCGAGAAUCUUCGGCAAUGGGCGCAAGCCUGACCGAGCGACGCCGCGUGGAGGACGAAGGCCUUCGGGUUGUAAACUCCUGUCGAGGGGAAGGAAGGGCCGCGAGGCCCUUGACCGCUCCCUGAGGAAGCACGGCUAAGUCGUGCCAGCAGCCGC